GGAUCCUGAGUACGACGGAGCACGUGAAAUUCCGUCGGAAUCUGGGAGGACCAUCUCCUAAGGCUAAAUACUCUCUAGUGACCGAUAGUGAACCAGUACCGUGAGGGAAAGGUGAAAAGCACCCCGGAAGGGGAGUGAAAUAGAACCUGAAACCGUGUGCUUACAAGUAGUCAGAGCCCGUUAAUGGGUGAUGGCGUGCCUUUUGUAGAAUGAACCGGCGAGUUACGAUUUGAUGCAAGGUUAAGCAGUAAAUGUGGAGCCGUAGCGAAAGCGAGUCUGAAUAGGGCGUUUAGUAUUUGGUCGUAGACCCGAAACCAGGUGAUCUACCCUUGGUCAGGUUGAAGUUCAGGUAACACUGAAUGGAGGACCGAACCGACUUACGUUGAAAAGUGAGCGGAUGAACUGAGGGUAGCGGAGAAAUUCCAAUCGAACCUGGAGAUAGCUGGUUCUCUCCGAAAUAGCUUUAGGGCUAGCCUCAAGUGAUGAUUAUUGGAGGUAGAGCACUGUUUGGACGAGGGGCCCCUCUCGGGUUACCGAAUUCAGACAAACUCCGAAUGCCAAUUAAUUUAACUUGGGAGUC
rnacentral:rRNA from 1 species